rnacentral:rRNA from 1 species
GGCUCCAGAUGAACGCCGGCGGCGUGCCUAAUACAUGCAAGUCGAGCGAACAGACGAGGAGCUUGCUCCUCUGACGUUAGCGGCGGACGGGUGAGUAACACGUGGAUAACCCACCUAUAAGACUGGGAUAACUUCGGGAAACCGGAGCUAAUACCGGAUAAUAUAUUGAACCGCAUGGUUCAAUAGUGAAAGACGGUUUUGCUGUCACUUAUAGAUGGAUCCGCGCCGCAUGAGCUAGUUGGUAAGGUAACGGCUUACCAAGGCGACGAUGCGUAGCCGACCUGAGAGGGUGAUCGGCCACACUGGAACUGAGACACGGUCCAGACUCCUACGGGAGGCAGCAGUAGGGAAUCUUCCGCAAUGGGCGAAAGCCUGACGGAGCAACGCCGCGUGAGUGAUGAAGGUCUUCGGAUCGUAAAACUGUGUUAUUAGGGAAGAACAAAUGUGUAA